GUGAAGAACGUAGCGAAAUGCGAUAAUUAAUGUGAAUUGCAGAAUUUAGUGAAUCAUCGAAUCUUUGAACGCACAUUGCGCCCCUUGGUAUUCCGGGGGGCAUGCCUGUUCGAGCGUCAUUUCAACCCUCAAGCUCUGCUUGGUCUUGGGCCGCGCCGGCGACGGCGGGCCUCAAAAACAGUGGCGGCGCCAUCUGGUUCCUCAGCGUAGUAAUUCUUCUCGCUGUUGGGCCCGGGUGGCCGCUGGCCAGCAACCCCAAAUUUUCUAUGGUUGACCUCGGAUCAGGUAGGGAUACCCGCUGAACUUAAGCAUAUCAAUAAGCGGAGGA
rnacentral:misc_RNA from 1 species